AAAGAAACCAACAGGGAUUGCCCCAGUAACGGCGAGUGAAGCGGCAACAGCUCAAAUUUGAAAUCUGGCCCCUAGGGUCCGAGUUGUAAUUUGUAGAGGAUGCUUUUGGUGAGGUGCCGCCCGAGUUCCCUGGAACGGGACGCCGCAGAGGGUGAGAGCCCCGUCUGGCUGGCCACCGAGCCUCUGUAAAGCUCCUUCAACGAGUCGAGUAGUUUGGGAAUGCUGCUCAAAAUGGGAGGUAUAUGUCUUCUAAAGCUAAAUAUUGGCCAGAGACCGAUAGCGCACAAGUAGAGUGAUCGAAAGAUGAAAAGCACCUUGAAAAGAGGGUUAAACAGUACGUGAAAUUGUUGAAAGGGAAGCGCUUGUGACCAGACUUGGGCGCGGCGGAUCAUCCGGGGUUCUCCCCGGUGCACUUCGCCGCGUUCAGGCCAGCAUCAGUUCGGCGCGGGGGAAAAAGGCUUCGGGAACGUGGCUCCUCCGGGAGUGUUAUAGCCCGUUGCAUAAUACCCUGUGCUGGACUGAGGACCGCGCAUCUGCAAGGAUGCUGGCGUAAUGGUCACCAGCGACCCGUCUUGAAACACGGACCAAGGAGUCGUCUUCGUAUGCGAGUGUUCGGGUGUCAAACCCCUACGCGUAAUGAAAGUGAACGCAGGUGAGAGCUUCGGCGCAUCAUCGACCGAUCCUGAUGUUCUCGGAUGGAUUUGAGUAAGAGCAUACGGGGCCGGACCCGAAAGAAGGUGAACUAUGCCUGUAUAGGGUGAAGCCAGAGGAAACUCUGGUGGAGGCUCGCAGCGGUUCUGACGUGCAAAUCGAUCGUCAAAUAUGGGCAUGGGGGCGAAAGACUAAUCGAACCUUCUAGUAGCUGGUUUCCGCCGAAGUUUCCCUCAGGAUAGCAGUGUUGAUCUCAGUUUUAUGAGGUAAAGCGAAUGAUUAGGGACUCGGGGGCGCUAUAUUGCCUUCAUCCAUUCUCAAACUUUAAAUAUGUAAGAAGCCCUUGUUGCUUAAUUGAACGUGGGCAUUCGAAUGUAUCAAC
rnacentral:rRNA from 1 species